rnacentral:miRNA from 1 species
ACUCACUAUGUAGCCCAGGCUGGCCUUUAACUCACAGUGAUCCUCCUGCCUCAGCCUCCUGAGUGCUGGGAU